CUUUAUUUAAUAAUAACUUAGUUUUAAAUUCCAAUAUGGGACUUAUGCUUAAAAUAUAAAAAAAUGUGUGUGAAUCACACAAAAGCAAAACACCAAGCUAACAAACAUCAUUGGAAGAGAGAAAACAACAUGGCCACUGGAUUGGUAAAGUAUUAUUUUUUAAAUAUUUUUAUUGCGUUGGAGACUAAUUAUGCCAUCAUAGUAGCAUGCUCUGAAAAACCGAACUCCUUAGACUCAACUUGCUAUCAAAGCUAGUUAAGCUUAUAAUUUAUGCAUAUCUGUCUAAUCAGCUAGAAAGGGUAUUCAAAACUUUAACCUUUAGCGCAGACGGAACGGAGCGCAGCAUAAAUGCUUGAACCUUACAAGAAAUGCUCGCGCGUUCUCGAGGAUACGCGGGACUCCCUUAUCGCACUUUAGUGCCAUAAUUUUAAAGUUUAUUUUCAAGUGCGUUAGUAAAAUCCUAUCCGCUGCGCUCCUCUGCGCUGACCCUUAGAGUUUAGUGUAACAACAAGUUUUAAAGAAUAGUUAUAUCAUUUCAUUAAGUAUUGACAAUCAGUAAAUAUUAUUAUGGCUAAAAACCCUAGCUCACUAGAAUGCCACACGUGCGACCUGGUUCUUCAUCUGAGAGCUUGGGUUGUUAAGGCUCAACUCACACUGGGGCAGAGUUGAAGCGUCACGUUUUUUACCAAAGCAUAAUAUUAUUCAUCUCUAUUGUUGUAGUACAAAUUUCUGUUUUGAAAAUAUGGAAGCGUUGAUGAGCGAAUGUGCGCUUCGACCAUGCUCCGACGGCUCCAUAUUUUUGGUCUUAAGAAAUUUUAAUAGAGCAAUAGAGAUGAAUAAGCCAUACGCCAAAAAACAUCCCACGUCAUGCCGCCUUCGACUCUGCUCCAGUGUGAGUUGAGCCUAAGUCAUUAACCUCAUGGGACAAGUGAUGUCAUGUCUCAAAACAGGUUUGAUGCAUUAAAAAUAAACUUUACCAACAACUGA